rnacentral:rRNA from 1 species
UACAGGGGGUGCAAACGUUGCUCGGAAUUAUUGGGCGUAAAGCGCGCGUAGGCGGCCACUUAAGUCGGAUGUGAAAGCCCCUGGCUCAACUGGGGAAGUGCACCCGAAACUGAAUGGCUUGAAUCCGGGAGAGGGAUGCGGAAUUCCAGGUGUAGCGGUGAAAUGCGUAGAUAUCGGGAGGAACACCUAUGGCGAAGGCAGCUCGCUGGGACGUUACUGACGCUGAGACGCGAAAGCGUGGGGAGCAAACAGG